rnacentral:rRNA from 1 species
CGACCGGCGCACGGUGCGUAACGCGUAUGCAACCUACCUUUAACAGGGGAGUAACACUGAGAAAUUGGUACUAAUACCCCAUAAUAUCAUAGAAGGCAUCUUUUAUGGUUGAAAAUUCCGAUGGUUAGAGAUGGGCAUGCGUUGUAUUAGCUAGUUGGUGGGGUAACGGCUCACCAAGGCGACGAUACAUAGGGGGACUGAGAGGUUAACCCCCCCACACUGGUACUGAGACACGGACCAG